rnacentral:rRNA from 1 species
GUGGGGAAUAUUGCGCAAUGGAGGCAACUCUGACGCAGCCAUGCCGCGUGCAGGAAGAAGGCGCUACGCGUUGUAAACUGCUUUUAACCGGGAAGAAACCCCAGGACGUGUCCUGGGUUGACGGUACCGGAGGAAUAAGCACCGGCUAACUUCGUGCCAGCAGCCGCGGUAAUACGAAGGGUGCAAGCGUUAUCCGGAUUCAUUGGGUUUAAAGGGUGCGUAGGCGGAGCGUUAAGUCAGUGGUGAAAUCCUGCAGCUUAACUGUAGACUUGCCAUUGAUACUGGCGCUCUUGAGUGCGCUUGAAGUGGGCGGAAUGUGCCGUGUAGCGGUGAAAUGCUUAGAUAUGGCACAGAACACCAAUUGCGAAGGCAGCUCACUAAGGCGAUACUGACGCUGAGGCACGAAAGCGUGGGGAUCGAACAGGAUUAGAAACCCUAGUAGUCC